GGAUGCCGAUCAUACCAGCACUAAAGCACCGGAUCCCAUCAGAACUCCGAAGUUAAGCGUGCUUGGGCGAGAGUAGUACUAGGAUAGUGGGAAGUCCUCGUGUUGCAUCCCC
rnacentral:rRNA from 1 species